AGGAUAAUAGUUAAAUAUAAUAUUUGGUUUGCAUCCAAAAGGUGUUGUCAACAACUUAUCUUA
rnacentral:tRNA from 1 species